AUUGAACGCUGGCGGCAGGCCUAACACAUGCAAGUCGAGCGGAUGAAGGGAGCUUGCUCCUGGAUUCAGCGGCGGACGGGUGAGUAAUGCCUAGGAAUCUGCCUGGUAGUGGGGGAUAACGUCCGGAAACGGGCGCUAAUACCGCAUACGUCCUGAGGGAGAAAGUGGGGGAUCUUCGGACCUCACGCUAUCAGAUGAGCCUAGGUCGGAUUAGCUAGUUGGUGGGGUAAAGGCCUACCAAGGCGACGAUCCGUAACUGGUCUGAGAGGAUGAUCAGUCACACUGGAACUGAGACACGGUCCAGACCCCUACGGGAGGCAGCAGGGGGAAUAUUGGACAAUGGGCGAAAGCCUGAUCCAGCCAUGCCGCGUGUGUGAAGAAGGUCUUCGGAUUGUAAAGCACUUUAAGUUGGGAGGAAGGGCAGUAAGUUAAUACCUUGCUGUUUUGACGUUACCAACAGAAUAAGCACCGGCUAACUUCGUG
rnacentral:rRNA from 1 species